rnacentral:rRNA from 1 species
UACGUAGGUGGCAAGCGUUAUUCGGAUUCACUGGGCGUAAAGGGUGCGCAGGCGGCCAAGUGUGUGAGGCGUGAAAGCCCGGGGCUUAACCCCGGAAUUGCACCUCAAACUACAUGGCUAGAGCAUUGGAGAGGGUAGCAGAAUUCAUGGUGUAGCAGUGAAAUGCGUAGAUAUCUGGAGGAACACCGGUGGCGAAGGCGGCAUCCUGGACCGGCAUUGACGCUGAGGCGCGAAAGCCAGGGGAGCAAACGGG